rnacentral:lncRNA from 1 species
CCGAAUAACUUUGUUUAUUUUUAUUUAAACUUUUAACUCAAACAAAUUAAAAAAUACUUAUUUUUUUAACUCUCUCCUCGCAGUUUCAAUCUCUCCUCGAGUUUUUCCCUCUAGACUUCUUCCUCUCUCUUUCUACGACCCAUUUCUUUCAAGCUCAACAAUGGUGGAAGCCGGGAUAUUGUAGAGAAAAUGGGCCACGUUCUCCGACGAGGUCCCGCAAUCUCCUUUCCUGGCAAAUCUCCUUUCCCAGAGAUUAAUGCAUCGAGAUCGCCGCAAAAGUGUUUGGGAAAAGAGAUGGGUUUUUUUCUCUGGCGUUAGUGACUUUUUCACGGCAAAACAAGCAGAGAAAACAAACUUCAAGCCCAAAAAGACGAUCAAGACUCCUAUUUCACGGAGUCGUUUCCAAAAUAUUGGCCAUGUCUUCACCAAAAAUCUACUAUUGGGCUGGAACCUUCACCGGAAAUCGACUAAUAGCAGCGGCUAAUGCGAGUUAUAUUGUGGGUGGCGAUAUCAACGGCGGCCGAAUGGUUCCGGUUAUCUAAUAGAAUCCCAAAUCGCUCUGCGAGAAAGAGCCGGUCAUUGAGUCGCCCCCAAUCUACCCCGCUCACUAAGGAAGCUUUUUUACUGAGCUCGUUACACUAGAAAUAGCCUAUCCUACUUUGCUCACUAGGUUGCUAUGGCCCGAGCCCCGCCCUCACUCAUUUUCUCUGUUAUUCAUGUAAAUUGGGGCUAAAUUCAGUCCGUGAAACCCUAAAGUUCAGGCAAUAAAACUACAAUCAGCAUUAUCUGCGUUUUCUCUUUCUUCCUGCAAUUUCUUGUCGAUUUUCCUGCCAUCAAGCACCAACUCGUAGUUCUGUCCAAUCUAUCUUUAAAUUUGUGC